rnacentral:rRNA from 1 species
UAGGGAAUCUUCGGCAAUGGACGAAAGUCUGACCGAGCAACGCCGCGUGAGUGAAGAAGGUUUUCGGAUCGUAAAAAUCUGUUGUUAGAGAAGAACAAGGACGUUAGUAACUGAACGUCCCCUGACGGUAUCUAACCAGAAAGCCACGGCUAACUACGUGCCAGCAGCCGCGGUAAUACGUAGGUGGCACGCGUUGUCCGGAUUUAUUGGGCGUAAAGCGAGUGCAGGCGGUUUCUUAAGUCUGAUGUGAAGUCCCCCGGCUCAACCGGAGAGGCUCAUUGGAAACUGUGAGACUUGAGUGCAGAAGAGGAGUGUGGUAUUCCAUGUGUCGCAGUGAAAUGCGUAUAUAUAUGGAGGAACACCUGUGGCGAAGUCGGCUCUCUGCUCUGUAACUGACGCUGAGGCUCGAAAGCGUGGGGAGCAAACAGG